rnacentral:rRNA from 1 species
GCAAAACGCGAAGAACCUUACCAGGCCUUGACAUGCAGAGAACUUUCCAGAGAUGGAUUGGUGCCUUCGGGAACUCUGACACAGGUGCUGCAUGGCUGUCGUCAGCUCGUGUCGUGAGAUGUUGGGUUAAGUCCCGUAACGAGCGCAACCCUUGUCCUUAGUUACCAGCACGUCAUGGUGGGCACUCUAAGGAGACUGCCGGCGACAAACCGGAGGAAGGUGGGGAUGGACGUCAAGUCAUCAUGGCCCUUACGGCCUGGGCUACACACGCGCUACAAUGGUCGGUACAGAGGGUUGCCAAGCCGCGAGGUGGAGGCUAAUCUCACAAAACCGAUCGUAGUCCGGAUCGCAGUCUGCAACUCGACUGCGUGAAGUCGGAAUCGC